rnacentral:lncRNA from 1 species
AGGCUCAGCGAUCCCUUGGAGGCUCAGAGCAGCUGGCCUGAGCUCCAGCUCACCUCCAACGGAAGCUCGCGUGCCCCUCAGAAAUGACGCUGGCCAAUGUCACUGCAGAGCUGAGGCGGUGUUGUCAGGGCUAAAGUGAAAUCUCUUCCCGUGGCACCGAUCCUGUGGCUCUGCAGUGCCAGCUCGGACAGAUUGAGGUCUCUGUGGCUUUGGUGACCCUGCUUAAGCAUUCCCAUGGUGUCCCAGCUCUGCUCUCUGCCUGCCUCCCACUGCAGCGCCCCCUCACCUGCUUGGGGAGGAGGGCACUGCCCCAAGGCUAGGGGCUUUUGCCCAGGAGAGUUGUCAGGCUUCCUGGGCUCCUCAGGCUUUGAGCUCUGCCGGGGUCCAGCUGACCUGGGAUACCAGGUGUUGCCCAGAGAUGCACCUCAUCCCAUGCCUCAGGAAGGGCUAGGGAGCAAUUAUGUUAUUGUAUUAACUUUACUCAGUUAACUCACUUGAGAAACUAACCAGCUUUUACUUUCUGUCUAGAAUGAGGUAUGUGUAGGAGAGUGAGCCGUAAUGCUCCCAAAGUGCCUUGUUUUCUCUGAUAUAAAU